UAGAAUCUAUCACAUACCAGUAGACACCACUAUAGUUUCCAUUAACACCAAUACAAUUCCCAUCAUAACCAUUAAAUCCAUUACAUUUUCUAUUGUGUUUUGGGCAGGGUUCUAUUGUUUUUUUCAGCAGGGUGGUUAGCUAUAAUAAAUCAGGCGGCCGUGCCAAAGAUGUAGGCUAGUAGGUAGUUGUGUGUGCAGGUACGAAUUAAAUUAAUAUUUAUGAGAUUUCAGGGGUAGGUUGCAGAAUUUAAGCCUACACAAAAGAAAUCUCUGUCUAGGCUCUGCCUCGGUAUUGUUUGUGUCAAGCCAUUCCUUAAUCUGGCUGUUUGUUGAAGAGAAAGAGAUCAAAUGUAGUAGAAAUAAACACUUUAAGAAUACAUAGUAGCGGAGGACUUUUAUUAUGUUUUUAUGACUAUUAUUAUGUUGUAAUGUUUGGUAGACCAAUCAGCGGAGAGGGGCGUUUCACUCCGCCCACUUGUAGAGAUCGAAUAUUCAAGUAGUUUAUCCCUUUUCUGUCCCUGAAAGUAAAAACGAAAAAUGAAGCCGAAUUCUUGAUUUUUCGUUUUGUUUGAACAAAUGAAAAACGAAAAAGGUGGCGUUUUUUUUCAUUUUUCAGAUUUCAAUAUUAAAUCAAAAAACGAAUUAUCCGAAGGUACACGGACCCUCAAUAGUGUCAUGUUCGUGAACUGAGCUACAUUGGUGGAUCAGUACAUAGUAUAGCCAGUUUUCAUGAUUUAAUUGAUUAAUACGAUUCAUACUGAGUUCGGUGUAAUACACUAUCAUGUGUUUUCUGUGUGAGUUAAACAAGUAAAGAGUGCUGCUGCAGAAAUCUACUUUUUUCCCAUAUUUAAAACAAAAAUCUCAGCUACUAAGUUCAAUCAGCUGACAACCCUAUUGUCGACGUGUUUUUAUAUUACAGAGUCAGGCCUGGAUGAAAACCUGCUUAAAGAGAGAGUGCAAGCCUGGUGCUGAUGUACCCGGUAAGCUAAAUGAAGAAUUGUAAAACCGAAAAAGCUCAGAUGAUGCUGAAAAGACUGUCAGCUCAGCCUCAACCCCUGUAAAUGAAUCAGAUCAAGAAAUGCAAAGAAGAAUAGAAGGGCUACAGGAAGAAAACAGCGGCUCAGAGAGGAACUUGAAAACUAGAUUCCUGGAUUCUCAAUGAGCUGAGAAGGCUAAGGACAGAGGCACGACCUCAAACUGAAAGUGAGAUCCUUCGUCGACGGUGUCAUAGUGUGAGUCUGUGUGGUUCCCCUCGUCUCGUCUUCCUAACCUGCUGAAACAAGAAACCAGUCAUUCACGGAUUGUCACUGCACCUUUUGAAUACUCACCUUGCUUGGACUCACUUCAAUAAACUCACCUUUGUUUACACUCACCUUUGUGUCCGGCUCUGACCAUAACAGAAGAUCGGACCGAACCGACAACACCACGAUGAGCACUACGGACCCAUUCCAGGAGCUGGUGGAUUCCAUCAA